rnacentral:rRNA from 1 species
AUUGAACGCUGGCGGCAGGCCUAAUACAUGCAAGUCGAACGGUGUCUUCGGACAUAGUGGCGCACGGGUGCGUAACACGUAUGCAACCUACCUUACAUUGGGGGAUAGCCUUUCGAAAGGGAGAUUAAUACCGCAUAAGACAGUAGCUGGGCAUCCAGCAGCUGUUAAAGAUUUAUCGAUGCAAGCUGGGCAUGCGUCCAAUUAGCUAGUUGGUGAGGUAACGGCUCACCAAGGCAAUGAUUGGUAGGGGAACUGAGAGGUCAAUCCCCCACACUGGCACUGAGAUACGGGCCAGACUCCUAUGGGAGGCAGCAGUAGGGAAUAUUGGGCAAUGGACGCAAGUCUGACCCAGCCAUGCCGCGUGCAGGAUGAAGGCGUUAUGCGUUGUAAACUGCUUUUAUACAGGAAGAAACGACUCUUGCGAGAGGCAUUGACGGUACUGUAUGAAUAAGCACCGGCUAACUCCGUGCCAGCCGCCGCAGUAAGAC